GUUGUUUAAUUCCUACCCAUUCCUUGGAUUUCUCCUCCAACCUCCCAAGAUGAUGUUGAAAAAGGUAGAUGAGACCAUGAUGCUCCUGCGCUCCCCUUGUUGUGGCUGGCACUCAAAGAGCAUCCACAGCACUGCAAUGGGGCCAUCCUGCUGCUGCUGAGGGACCCUCAGAUUCAAAGGCACAGCACAAACCAGGUGAGGCAUGGGAGUCAGGGUAAAGCCAACAUCAGCAGUGAGAUCCAGGUCUGACUUAUCCACUCCUGGAGGAG